rnacentral:rRNA from 1 species
UACGGGGGGGGCAAGCGUUGUUCGGAAUUACUGGGCGUAAAGGGCUCGUAGGCGGCCAACUAAGUCGGAUGUGAAAUCCCCAGGCUUAACCUGGGAAUUGCAUCCGAUACUGGAUGGCUUGAAUCCGGGAGAGGGAUGCGGAAUUCCAGGUGUAGCGGUGAAAUGCGUAGAUAUCUGGAGGAACACCGGUGGCGAAGGCGGCAUCCUGGACCGGCAUUGACGCUGAGUGAGCGAAAGCCAGGGGAGCAAACGGG